CCUACGGGGGGCUGCAGUAAGGAAUAUUGGUCAAUGGACGCAAGUCUGAACCAGCCAUGCCGCGUGAAGGAUGAAGGUCCUCUGGAUUGUAAACUUCUUUUAUAGGGGACGAAACCUCUUUUUCUAAAGAGACUGACGGUACCCUAGGAAUAAGCACCGGCUAACUCCGUGCCAGCAGCCGCGGUAAUACGGAGGGUGCAAGCGUUAUCCGGAUUCACUGGGUUUAAAGGGUGCGUAGGAGGGCAGGUAAGUCAGUGGUGAAAUCUUGGGGCUUA
rnacentral:rRNA from 1 species